AUGAACUGUUCAAAUGUUGCCGCUACACCAUGCUUAGGCACAACUCUUCUCACCCUGAAACUGAAACACUUGAUCGUACAGAUGUUUCGGGCGCUCGUCUUCUAUGAUCAUAUUGUGCAUGAUCACACAAGCAGUCAUCACCUCUCACAAUUUCUGCAUGCUCCAGGUAUUAGCAGGAUUUCGGAUGAUGCCCCAUCAAGAUUGCAAAGCACCAAAGGCACGCUCGACAUCCUUCCUGGCACUCUCUUGCUUCUGGGCAAAUCUUUUCCUCUUCUCUCCGACAGGGUUGGGCAUUGUCUUGACAAUAGUGGUCCACUAAGGAUAGAUACCGUCACCCAGGUAGUAUCCUUUGUCGUAGUUGUGUCCGUUGACAGUAAAGUUCACCGGUGGGCUGUUGCCUUCGGCAAGUCUAGCAAACACCGGCGAACGCUGAAGCACGUUGAUAUCAUUGUGUGA
rnacentral:rRNA from 1 species